rnacentral:lncRNA from 1 species
GGCCCGGAAAUGACCAAAAGAGUAUAUACUCAUAUGUAUUGUUUCGGUCCUUUAUUCCUUAACAGUUUGGACACUUAUCCCCCUUUUUCCACCCUCGGAUCUUAAUAUCAUAUGAAAAGUUUAAAAGAAAAACAUAUUCAUUCAUGUUCAGUCUUUUAAUGUAUGUGCGGUAUUUUUCCGACACUUGCUUGUAGAAAUGCUAAAUUCUUUAACAAUUACUGAAAAGUCUAAACAUUGGGUAAACAGAUCUGAAUUGAAUGCAUAGAAGCUGUCUGAAUACAUAGAAACUGUC